UAUACUAACUGCUGUGUUAUUUGUAUUCGCGUGUGGCGAUGCAAAUUAUUCAAAACUAACAAAACUAUUAUUGCUUAUAGGUGUUGCUUGUCCGUAGGUCCACCUUUAUCAAAAAUGUAACGGACUGCUCACAGCCUUUUUU
rnacentral:telomerase_RNA from 1 species